rnacentral:rRNA from 1 species
UACGGAGGGUGCGAGCGUUGUCCGGAAUCACUGGGCGUAAAGGGCGCGUAGGUGGCGCGGGCAGUCAACGGUGAAAGUUCGGGGCUCAACCCUGAAUCGGCCGUCGAUACUCCCGGGCUUGAGCACUGUAGAGGCAGAUGGAAUUCCGGGUGUAGCGGUGGAAUGCGUAGAGAUCCGGAGGAACACCAGCGGCGAAGGCGGCAUCCUGGACUGGUACUGACGCUCAGGAGCGAAAGCGUGGGGAGCGAUCCGG